UACGUAGGGUGCAAGCGUUAAUCGGAUUUACUGGGCGUAAAGGGCGCGUAGGCGGCGUGACAAGUCACUUGUGAAAUCUCCGGGCUUAACUCGGAACGGUCAAGUGAUACUGUCGUGCUAGAGUACAGAAGGGGCAACUGGAAUUCUCGGUGUAGCGGUGAAAUGCGUAGAUAUCGAGAGGAACACCUGCGGCGAAGGCGGGUUGCUGGGCUGAUACUGACGCUGAGGCGCGAAAGCCAGGGGAGCGAACGGG
rnacentral:rRNA from 1 species